rnacentral:rRNA from 1 species
UACGUAGGGGGCCAGCGUUGUCCGGAUUCAUUGGGCGUAAAGAGCGUGUAGGCGGCCAGGUAGGUCGGUUGUGAAAACUGGAGGCUCAACCUUCAGAGGUCGACCGAAACCAUCUGGCUAGAGUCCGGGAGAGGAGAGUGGAAUUCCUGGUGUAGCGGUGAAAUGCGCAGAUAUCAGGAGGAACACCGGUGGCGAAGGCGACUUCCUGGACACCAACUGACGCUGAGACGCGAAAGCGUGGGGAGCAAACAGG